AUGAGCAGACGCGGCGGGCGAGCGAUAGUUAUUAUAAAAAAGACUCGAGAGUUGUAAUACAAAUUGUGUUUAAGUGAUUAAGAAAUAAGAUGUACAUUUGCAAAUAAAAGAUAGUGAGUUAUUUCAUUUUUUUUUUAAUAUAUUAGUUGGAUGAAUUAAAGUUGGAUGACAUGACUAAUUUCAUUUUAAAUAAACACAUUUUUGGCCUGUAUGUUUAUAGUUCGAACACCCAGCCCGGUCAGGAGAAGCCGUAUUAGAAAUAAAUUUUACUCAAAGAGGGGGAAAUAAGGAGUUUAUCGCCUAUUAAAUAAUUCCUUAAAAGACUUAUAUGCUAAAAUCCCCAAAAUAAGAUUAGUUACUCUAGUUUUUGCAAAAAAAGACCGUUUUGGAUACUCAAACCAAAUGUAAAUAAAUGUGAAAAUAUGGAUUUAAUGAUGAAAAAACAAUCAAAUUCAAGCAAAAUCAACCAAAGAUAUUUUAACCCAAAUUUUCAGCAGAGGUCAUCACCGAUUUACCUGCUGAACUCCCUGUUCUGCCCGGAGGUGAAAAAACAACCAAACAACGGCGACAAUGCGUUUUUUUUUUAAAAACGAGGCGUACCCAUUUCUUAUGCCGAGCAUGCAAUGUAGCGCUAUGUUUUAAUUUGACAGACACUUCUUCAUGUUUCGUCAAAUACCACACCUAAACACAUUUAAUUUACCCUUCUAUUUUCUUUUGUUUACAUUGCAUUAAAAUCGUUACCAUUUAGCUAAAAAAAAAUCCUAAGUAUUAUUUAGCUAGGCGUACUAGGUAUUAAGUACCUACGAACCAUUAACAAUUUGCAGCCCGCAAGCGAUACAUCAACCAUAAAUCCUUGACUAGACUUCUUCUAUUUUAGCAUUUACUUUAUAAUUUAUUUGUAAAACUUUAAUAUAAACCUUUUAAUUAACCGUCAGAUAUCCUUUUCUCAUAAAAAUGUAAUGUGACUAUCAAAAAGUCAUGUCCAUAUUAAUAUUGUCACGACAGACAAGCUCUGAUGGAAAAGCCAAAUAUUACAGCAAAGCGCGAGGUUCAUCUAGAAAAGAUUAUGAAAAAUAGAAAUUUACCAGAUGACCUGAGAUAUGAAGGAUAUAAUUUAUCUAGACGAGAGCUAUGUCUAUAAAUCCUACAAAUUAAAGAAAUGACAUAAAUGGAAUAAAAGAAAAUGUGUCCAAAGGAAAGAGGUGACUAGUUGUUGAAUCUUAAAGCUUGACAACUAGUAUUCCUCAUACCAUGAUUUUGAUUAAUAUACAUUGUUUUCUUUUUAGGAAUAUAAUUAUACACGCAGAGAGCGAAAAUAGAUUCGUACCAAAUGUUCUUUUAAUAUUUAGUGGGAAAAAUAAAAAUAGAUACUACCACUCUGAAAUGAAUAAAAGUAAUUUCACAAAAUGGGUUACAGAAAAAUUAAUACCAAAUGUUCUUAAACUUACUAUUAUAGUAAUGGAUAACGCCUCCUACCAUUCAGUCGCUUAAUAGAGUUCCCACUUCUACAUCAAAAGUCAGCGAAAUAAAGCUGUAGUUGUCAGAGAACAAUAUACCAUUUUCUGAUACAACAAGAAAGCCAAAUCUGUUAAUGCUUGUAAAACAACACAAACCGGAGCCCGCCUAUGAAAUAGAUGAUAUUUGAAAUAGACAUGGUCACACAGUUGUAAGGUUCCCACCUUACCAUUGUGACCUAAACCCAAUUGAACUAGUGUGGGGCAUUGCAAAACAAAAAAUUGAAUCGCACAAUGUCGGAUCUGUUGACAUCAAGGUAUUUUGUGACAGCAAUUAAAAAAAUGUUUCAUAUUAUUUAAUGUCAUUUAUUUUUAUUUCAAUAGACAGUAGCUGAACAAGCGUUUCAGAGUAUAUCUGCUGAUGACUGGAGAAGUUCAUGCCAAAACAUCAUGAAAAUAGAGAGAGACUAUUGCGAACGGGGGCAAACUCUGUAUGACGAUAUUGAAAAAAAUAUCAUAAACCUUCAACAUGAAAGCAGCAGUACUGAAUCAAGUGAAGACAGCCAGCAGACUAUUGAAGAAGACACGCCCCAAAACUUAGAUAAAGACUGUUCUGACGUGGAAUACUUAGACGAAAGCAUUUUUGAUUAUGAUUAACAUAAAAUAUGCAAUUGGAUUCAUUCAACUUUUACACAUUACAUUUAAUUUUAUUAUUUAUAUAGUAUUCUUUGGGACGCCUCAAAUAAAGAUUUUAAAGAUAAAUUUAAAAAAUGAUGCUUGGAGGGACAUUGCUGCAGAAUUUCAUAUAUCGCAAAAAGAAGUGGAAACAAAGAUGCAUUUUCUACGCUCACAAUUCAGUCGUAAAAAGAAAAAAAUCAAACAGGAUUGGAAGCGGUUCCGAGGACGUGAUUAAAAGCAAAUGGCAAAAAAGUCAGUGGUUGGAAUCGCUGCAAUUUUUAUUGCGUGGUGCAACAACGUUUGAAUCAUCAGAUACAAUGGGAACAAUGGUGACGUCAUCGCCGCUACGCCCCGGUCUAGAACACUACCGGCGCGUACGAUGGGAACGCAGCAGGGGGUCCGUUGGAAGAGGCACCACAUGUUGUUACUUCUACAGACGCAUGUCAUUCUGAUCCUGUUAGUAAACGAAAGAAGACGUCAAUUCGUCCUGGCAAAUUGUUUUUUGUAACAUGAUCUUGAUUGUUUUGAAAUUGAUUGCCGCCAAACUUUUUUAAAUAAUAUUCGUUUUCGUUUUCCGUUAGUUACAUAUUUGUGUGCUUUGGAGUCUUCUCAUACUUCUAAUAGAGUAAGUUAUCAUUUACAUAGUUUUUUUGAAUUAGUUGCUGCUAUUUUUGUUGAUGACUUGCGUGUGUUUAUUAAUUCUCUUGAUAAAAUGUGCGGAUAAAAUAUUUUUACAUACGCUGUUUAGUAUUUUUAAAACGCUGUGAAAAUUAUGUAAACGUAAAAGAAACUAUCCAAGAUAUUAUUAAUGUUUGCCUUGGUCAGUAUACCAAUGAUACGGACAAUGACUGCAAAGAAGCAAAGUUAUGAGCAGAAUAAAAAAAUGACAUUUAAUUUGAAUAAUGGUUUCGACCGAGCAAGCCGUUAUACCGGACUUUCCAAAAGAACAUUGGCUGCAAAUCAAAAUGAGUCUCAGAAAGGAGCCUCUUUGGUCUUCUUCUAAAAAGAAAAGGCCAUAUAUUAAAAGGAAAAAUUUAAAUGUCGAUGAUUUUGAUCGAAUUGUUAUACACCGUUAUUGUAUUGUUCCGACCUGUAUUAAACUCCUCGCAGCUAUUCGGUUUAAGAACGUGAUACAGGCGAUGUAAUUCGAAACGCUAUUACGAAUGCUAAGAGACAAGGUGGUGAUGUUUGGAAACAAUUGUUCUCAGUAUCAAUUACUAUUUUAAGUCAACGCCUGGUGAGUGCACCCGAAUGCGCAUACAGAUUAUGCCAUUUGCCAUUAAAAAUGUCGUCGCGUAAGACUGUUUUUGUCAAUAGUUGCAGGCCGGCGGAACGUUUCGGACUUCUGAGAUUCGACAGUGAUGAAACCUUAACCUAAGUUUAAGCCUUGCGGAAUUUGCCGUCCGUUCUCUCGAAACUGUCUCUAAAGCGACAUGGUCAGAGGACAAUGGCGAUGCAGAACUUAAGGACGAAGAUAUUACGCCAGUGAGGUAUAUCAGAUUGCAGGACAACACUAGAAUGCGUGUAAGAAAUAGACCGUCAGUAUUACGUACCCGUUAUUAUACAAUUAAUAGUGACAAAGAAGCGUAUUAUUACAGUUUAAUAGUAUGCCACAUAGCAUUUCGUAAUGAAAGCGAGUUACUGUUUGAAAAUGAAACCGCUGAAGACUGUUUUAUAAGACGCCAGAGUGAUCUUCGCCCGUUGCAGGGUAAUGUGAGCGCAGAACAAUUUGGUUACGCCAAACAAAUUAUUCAGCAUUCUGUUGCUCAAGCUACCGCACUUAAUGCUGCGCGCGAAACCGAUGUCAGUAAUGCACCCUUGUUAUGUGUUGGUGAACAAAUUGUUCAUGACGAUGAUAACUUUUGUGAAGACAUGGAAGAACGAGCCGUCGUGUCAGAUGAAUUGUUCCUGGGAAGCAUUCGCGGAUUAAAUGUCCAACAGAGGGAUUUAUUUCACAAAGUAUCUACGGCAAUCGAAAACGAUUUGCAAAGACAAGAGAGUCAGCUGUUGCUUUUUAUCACGGGUGGUGCAGGUAGCGGAAAAUCAUUUCUGUUGAAGUUAAUCGUGGCACAUAUUAAGCGUUGUUACGCACCAACAGUAGAUAUACUACUCAAGCCUAACUUUGUUUCACUAAGAUAUUAUAAUAAUAAUUAUCGGAAAGGCGAGGAAAUCUGUAAAACAGAACCAAAUUUAAAUAUGUAUAAAAAUGAUACGACCGAAACGGUAGACAACACCGAAAAUUUUCAAAUAAAGGCCUCAACAUCUUCUGUACCAGAAUAAUUCCUGAAAAUUAUACGGAAUUACCUUAUAUAUUUAUAACUGAGUUAAACGCAAGAUUUUUAUUAGAUACUGGAAGCACUAGAUCAUUUAUAAGUACAAAUAUUGCGGAAAAAUAUUUUAAAGAUAAACUAAAUUUAAAAAAUUUCCGAAUUGUAAGCACACAUGAAAUUUCAAAUCAUAAAGGCGCAGUCGCAAUCAGAUUAUUUGAUUCUUUUAAUACGGAUAAACAACAUAAAUUUUAUAUAUAUAAACAUAGGAAAAUCCUACGAGGGUCUAAUUGGAAAUGACUUAUUUGUCGAAUUAAAGGCCAUUAUUAAUUUAGAGAAGGCACAGCUGAUAACGGUUCCAGCUGUAGUGCCUAUACAAUUACAACAGAGCACAAAAGAUUUUAAGCCUGUUGAUAUUCAAUUAUCGCCGAGAAGCGAAACGAAGGUUAAAAUUCCAAGCAACCUUACGCAUGGUAUACUGAAAUACAAAGAAUUUAUAAACGGAGUAAGAAUGCCUAGGGCAAUCGUAAAAUGCGAGGAAGGAUAUGCAUAUACGAUAAUACAGAAUACUACCGAGCAAGAAUAUACGCUCACUGUGAAAUCACCUUUCAAGGUAACUAAGUAUGAGUAUGAGCAAAAUAAGAUACAAUGUUGCGUUAAUCAUUUAAAGACGCGUAAAGAAUUAAAUUAUGUUUUAACAAACAAUUUAGAAAAACUAAGACCUGAUCAUAUGAAUGAAGAAGAAAAAUAUAAAAUCUACAAUUUAUGGCUAGAUUUUAAGGAUAUUUUCUAUUGUAAAUAAAUACCAUUGUCUUUCACUAAUCCAAUUUAUAUUAAACAAUACAGACAGCCUCCAGCUCAAAAUGCUGAGAUUAAAAGGCAAGUCGAUAAAUUAAUAAAAGAAAAUAUAAUACAACCGAGUCAUUCACCUUGGAGUGCGUCUGUUCAUUUAGUUCCAAAGAAAAUGGACGCAUCGGAAGAACAAAAAUAUAGAAUGGUAGUUGAUUACCGUUAGUUAAAUGAAAUAACUUGCGAUGAUAAAUAUCCUUUACCAAAUAUGUCAGAUAUCUUCGACAAAUUGGGAAUCGGUACUUAUUUCACUACGUUUGACUUAGCGAGUGGAUAUCAUCAGAUAGAAGUACGAGAGGAAGACAUACCUCAAACUGAAUUUAAUACACAAUACGGACCGCGGACCGCGCAACUAGAGCCAUCACCUUAACGUUUUGAAAGUGCCUGGAAAACGGCCUACUUGAAAUAAAAACUUUUGAUUUUGAUUUUGGACAUUAUGAAUUUAAAACAAUGCCUUUCGGAUUAAAAACAGCACCAGCUACUUUUCAAAGAGCUAUGGAUAACAUUUUGAGAGGACUAGAAGGAAUACAUUGCUUAAUUUAUCUCGAUGAUUUAAUAAUAUUUUCGAAUACUUUAGACGAACAUAAAUAAAUAAAUUUUAAAAACAUUAGAAACGAGAAUUUAAAAGUACAACGUGACAAAUCAGAAUUCUCAAAGAAAGUAGCAAAAUUCUUAGGAAUCUGGAUUGACAGUCAAUUAACAUGGAAAGCUCAAACUGAAUAUAUAUGCAAAAAGUUAAGUACCUACGCCUAUAUCUUGUUUAAUCUGUCAAAAAAGGUUAACCUAAAUACAGUUCUUGUUGCUUACCAUGGCCUCGUGAUUUCAACAUUAAGAUUUCGCAUUAUAUUUUGGGGCAAUAACAGCGAGAGAGAAAGCAUUUUCAAAGCCCAAAAACGAUGUUUGAGAUCGAUGUUUAACUUACAGAUUACAGACAGCUGUGUUCCUAUUUUCAAAUCGCAUAAAUUAUUAACCUUUCCAUGUUUGUACAUACUCGAAAUAGCUCUUUUUGUAAAAAACAACCCCCAUCUAUUUCCGUCGUUAAGAGACUCGAACAAGUUUCAAAUAUAUGAGAUCUCAGUAUCAAAAUUUAUUGUGCACAGGUAGUUAUAAUACCACACUGUUAAAGAAAAGUGUCAUAUGUAUGGGACCGUUAAUAUUCAAUAAGUUACCCAGUAGUUUAAAACAGCAACCAACGAAAAUAUUUAAAAAAGGACUCACCGAUUUAUUGUUACAUAAAUGUUAUUAUUCUGUAAUCGAUUUUCGUAACGAUGUAUUUUGAUAGUUAUAUAAAAUUUCUUAUUCUAUUCUGUUUAGUUAAGUUGUAUUAAUUUUUUGUCUUUUAUUUUUAUUUUUUGUUGUUGUAUAAUUUUAAGAUGUAAAAAUGUAACACGUACCAUGUCAUCGUGUCUACAUAACUAACGUUUGUAUGCCGAAAGGUAGAAUGUACAAGGACCCUCAAACUUAUGUUACCAGCUUUUUGUAAUACCUACAUUCUAUACAAAUAAAUAUCUGAUUCUGAUUCUG